GGGUGGUAAAGGUGGGAUUAUUAAAAAAUAUGUCGUAGGUGGGCUUAAUAAAAGAAAAUCGGCCAAAGGUUGGAUUAAUAUUACCAAAUUUUCCAACUUAAUUUGGGUGUCCUCUUUCCGCCAACUCAAAACCCUCACUCAAUUUCAUCUUUCCGAAAUUAACUGUAGGACUUCUCACUCAAUUCUCACAUCUCCUUUUUUCUGGGUUUUCAAGAUUCAACUCGUUCUCGUCGGCGUCGGAGCUGCAGCCUGCAGACAACGCCUCUUUGUCAGAUCUGAAUCAAAAGAUCAUCGUCCAUGGCAGAAAAUGUCGGAUAAUACACAAAUCUUUUGUUCAACCAAUUUCGAUACAGGACUAUCAAGUAAAAGCAUCAGCCUACCUUUUGAAACCGACCAGCUUGGCCAACAUUCUGUAAUCCUGAUUUACCUGGAGGUAUAUUUUUCACUUAAGUUAACUUAAUUUUGUAUUGUUGUUGUUGUUGUUGUUGUUGUUUUGGUCCCUUAGGAAGAUUUGGAGUGGAAGUGGAAGGGAAGUGUUUACUGCUGCUGGUGGUUGUACUCAGUUCAUUUCAGCUGGGAAAUAUAAGAUACAGAAAAUGUAUAAGCAUCUGAAACAGAAUGGGCCAAAAGUUGAAUGGAGAAGACUCAUAUGCAAUAACUCAGCUAGUCCAAAGAGCAUCUUCCUGCCAUUGCUUACAGUGCAAAAUAGAUUACCUACUAAGGACAAAUUGAUGCAAUGGAAUAUCAAUGUGGAUGCAAUUUGUAGUUUGUGUUAGCAGGAGCCUGAGAAUAUGCAUCAUUUGUUCUUCCAGUGUCCCGUGUCAGCUGAUAUCUGGAAUACUGUGAAACUCAAGAUUGGUGUUGGUAGACCUACUGGUAUGUUUGCUGAUGAGGUUUAAUGGAUCACAAAGAAGAGUAGAAGCAGCAAACCAGAAGACAAGGUUGUGUGUGCAGCUUUUGCUGAAACAGUUUACCAUAUUUGCCUCCAGAGGAAUGCUAAAAUCUUUAGCAAUAAACUUGACAAUUGUAAUGCUGUUGUUUCUAGAAUUCUGUUCCAUGUAGCAUGUAGGUGUACUAAGGAAAUGAAUUCUGUUUUGCUUAGGUAGUGGUUGAGGGGGAAACCACCAUGUUGGUGUGUGUUCCUUCCUUCCAGUUUGAGGUGAGCUGUUGUGUUGGUGUGCUGUUGUAAUUAUCCUAUUUUUAGUAAUAAAACUCCUUAUUUUCCA